rnacentral:rRNA from 1 species
CUACGGAGGGUGCAAGCGUUACUCGGAAUCACUGGGCGUAAAGCGCGCGCAGGCGGCUUGAUAAGUUGGAUGUGAAAGCCUACGGCUCAACCGUAGAACUGCAUCCAAAACUGUCAGUCUAGAGUGUGGGAGAGGAAGAUGGAAUUAGUUGUGUAGGGGUAAAAUCCGUAGAGAUAACUAGGAAUACCAAAAGCGAAGGCAAUCUUCUGGAACACUACUGACGCUGAGGCGCGAAGGCGUGGGGAGCAAACAGGAUUAGAAACCCCAGUAGUCC